UACUACAAAAUUCCUGGACAGAAGUCAUGGAUUUAAUAUUGAAACCCCGCUCUGGAGCUGAAAAGGGCUACUUGGUUAAAUGCAGAGAAGAAUGGGCAAAGACCAAAGACCCAACUGCUGCCCUCAGAAAACUACCUGUCAAAAGGUGUGUGGAAGGGCAGCUGCUUCGAGGACUUUCAAAAUAUGGAAUGAAGAAUAUAGUCUCUGCAUUUGGCAUAGUGAGUGCAAUUUGUGAAGUCAGGCAAUGGCUCAAGGCGUUUUAAUGCUUUUUAAAUUUCAUCUUGAAAGAUUUUACUAAACUUUGAAAGAGCAGAAGGUAAAUAAGGAUCCUUUGGUGAUCUCUGAGGUGUUUCACCUGAGUAAUCUUUGUUCAGACCCUGAGUGGUGAUGUGGGGGUGGAUGCGGGCAUUACUUAUUGAGGGCACAAGAAAAACGUCAAUGUGGAAAACAUAAUCUUCAGUGGAAAUUCUGUGUAAAUUAAGUCUCUUGGUAUUUGAGAAAUUUCGAAUCUAUUGUAUAGUCAUUUCUUGAUCAUUCCGUUACCAGUACUGUAAACUGCCUUAGUAAAAGGGUUGAACAGUAAGCAGUCUAUAGUUGCAUUUUAGUCUGGUUUCAUCAU
rnacentral:sRNA from 1 species